rnacentral:lncRNA from 12 species
CCAAUAUAGGGAAUAUAGAUGAGAUAGAUGAGGGCUCUUAUGUUCUAACUACUGACAGUUCAUUGGGAUCUGUGCCUACACAUAUAUAAAUGUAUUUUAGACUCUAACCUGACUUCUUUAAUAAAUUUUUUUUAUUUUUAUUUAUUUAUGAUAGUCACAGAGAGAGAGAGAGAGAGAGGCAGAGACACAGGCAGAGGGAGAAGCAGGCUCCAUGCACCGGGAGCCUGACGUGAGAUUCGAUCCCGGGUCUCCAGGAUCGCGCCCUGGGCCGAAGGCAGGCGCCAAACCGCUGCGCUACCCAGGGAUCCCUCUAACCUGACUUCUAAGUAAAUAUAUUCAGAGCACUGUGGAGUCAAAAGUUUGUCGUGGAUUAAGAGAGUUGAAAUUUGAAGAUGGGAAAAAAUGCAGGAAUUUAGGAAGGGAACCCACUGCCAAAGUCCACUCUGUGACAACACUUGAAGAAACCUCAGUGGUGAAACCAACAGACAGGAGAAGGGACAAGUGUUCCAUCUCUGGACACAUGCAAAUAACCCCGGUGUUAUCAAUGUCAGGGAUGGGUAGUGAGAUCCUUCCUAAGUAUGCAAGCCUGGGGAAAAGGGCAUGUAAUCUGUAUUAUUACUUGAACUGCUGUGGCAGCUCUACUUGUGUUAAGAGACUCACAGAUUCUCCUCUUCGUGGUUGUCAUCAGUUUUAAUUCUCUAAAUCAUGGACAGAGAUACGUGGAUACUGGUAAGUGUGUGUGUAAAUGAGGGAGACAGAGACAGAGACAGAGGUAGACAGAAAGAGAUCAAGAGAGAUACAGAAGAUUGACGAUGAGAGUUUGUGUGUUUAUAUCUGGGGUAGGUGGUGUAAGGGAUUAAGGGAGGGUAGAAUCCAAAGAAAGGAAGGAAAUGUGUUUAUUGCACAAAUACCUUAACAUAAUCAUUGGAGUAAUCUAAUUUUUCAUUUUCCCACGGAUCAUUUCUGAUAGCUGGGAGAGAGUAUCACAAGAAGGCUAUUAGUAAAGGCAAAGGAACAGAGAUGAUCCAUACUUAAGGUUCAGGAAAUACUGAAAUUUGGCUUUUUAACCCAUUGCCAGAUGUAUACAUAUUAUGUAAACUAAUGCAACAUUGUGGUUCUGAGGCCAAGUUACCCAUUUUUCAUUAUACCCUGGGUUAUGGUUAUAUAUACUGUAUUUAAAAAAAAUAUUUAUUUAUUUGAGAUAAAGGGAGA